rnacentral:lncRNA from 1 species
CCUGAGUAGCUGAGACUACAGAUGCCUGCCACCACACGGAGGGUCACGAAGGUGUGUUCCAAGGCCACAUCUCCAACCUCACAGAGAGGACAGGAAGUGAUCAGUACCCCAACUAGCAAGAGUGGCCCGUUCAUUGGCCGAGGUUCUUGAGGAUAGAGUGGGAGGUGGGAGCGUCCCUCGUGCUGCCUUCAUUUUUCCUACCCUCAGCUCAGGGGUCUGUGCUAGAGGAAGACACACGAAGGCUACUGUGCCCCCACCACAAGAGAGGGAAACAGGGAGACGCGUGGGUCUGGAGCCAAGCGUAUCUCUCUGUACCCAUCGCACACGAAUUUGAAUCAUCUGCUCUUUGGAAUCGCCUACACCCUGCUGCACCCACGAUGUGGCUGUAACUCCAUUAAAGAAUUGAAUAUCAUCUUCCACGGAAUCUCUGUCUGCACAAAAGGGGCACAUUUAAUUUUCUGUUUUUUAAAUAAAGGUUUAAAAAAUCCUUUUGCAAAGCGA